rnacentral:rRNA from 1 species
UCUACGGGUGGCAGCAGUCGGGAAUCAUUCACAAUGGGGGAAACCCUGAUGGUGCGACGCCGCGUGGGGGAAUGAAGGUCUUCGGAUUGUAAACCCCUGUCAUGUGGGAGCAAAUUAAAAAGAUAGUACCACAAGAGGAAGAGACUGCUAGCUCGGUACCAGCAGCCGCGGUAAUACAGAGGUCUCACGCGUUGUUCGGAAUCACUGGGCGUAAAGCGUGCGUAGGCGGUUUCGUAAGUCGGGUGUGAAAGGCCCGGGCUCAACCCGCGGACGGCACAUGAUACUGCGAGACUAGAGUAAUGGAGGGGGAACCGGAAUUCUAGGUGUAGCAGUGAAAUGCGUAGAGAUCGGGAGGAACACUCGUGGCGAAGGCGGGUUCCUGGACAUUAACUGACGCUGAGGUACGAAGGCCAGGGGAGCGAAAGGGAUUAGAUACCCUAGUAGUC